AAUAGCUGGCAUCCUCGAGAGCGAUGGAGGAAAUCUAUGCCAACGUUGAAUAUGCCCAACCUGUCGACUCAAACCCUUUGACCAAUCAGACAGCGAUGGAGGAAAUCUACGUCAACACUGAAUAUGAAAAAUCUCAAGUUUCCUCAAGACCUUCAAGAACUCACACAGGUCCCAGCAGCUCAGAGAUCAGAUCUCAUAGAGCUGUUGUUCUCUCUCUGGGGCUGCUGAGUGUUUUCCUGCUGGCUGGAC